AUAGCAUGAGGUCAACAGAAGGGGUGACAAGUGAAUUCAUAAUUUGAUCAUUGAACCAUGAACUCUUUGAAUUGGCAACAGAAAGUGUCCCAGGACAGUAGUCCUCAAAUUUACGAUGGUAAUUUGUUUUAAUUGAAAUUGGUUGGUUAUAUCAAUGAAAUCAGUUUGCAAUGGCAGGAGGCAUAUAGUUCUAGUCAAGGGCCCAACAUGGAUAAAUGCCAAAACAAU
rnacentral:misc_RNA from 1 species